rnacentral:lncRNA from 1 species
GUCUUUUCAGUAACUUGCCAAAAUAAUCUCUUGGCACCUCUGAGAUGAGGAUCCACGUUCUGCUGCUCGCAUAACUCCCCUGCUCAUAGAACCAUUUUGGGUGAGAUUUUUCACAGCGGACUUGUGCUUUUAACUCUUUAAGCUGCUUCUGAAAAAUGUUGCUUUGCUAUCUUGUGGGAAAUGGUCAUACCAUAAUGUACCAUGACAGUGCUUGGUGCGGAGAAUGUAAAGAAACAUUUAAAUAUAAAUUAUAGCUAGAAAUGAAGGUAUAAGUAAAAGCCAAAUGAUAGGAUUUACCUUCCAAAUCUUAAGGGCAAAAAGAGUCAUUUAGCCCUUUUCUUGGAUGUAGCCAGGCAAGGGAUAGAAACGCUGAGUCUCAUAUGAUCUUAAUUAUAUGCUGUGGGUGUGAGCAGCUUUCAGGCUACAUGUGGAUUCUUGACUGAGGCUCAAUGUGUGAACUUUGUCACUAGAGGAGUAUGUCACACACAGAGCUGGGACAUGAGCCAUCAUUCACAAUUCAAACAAACCCCCAGCCCUUCAGAGACUGAAAAGAAAUGUUCAGUUAACCAUAAAAACUGUGACAUGAUUCUCCAUAUACUGGUGCCCUUUGGGAACAGAAAUACUUCAAGUUCCAGAAUAAGGCCUUUCUUGUGAGGCUUUCUGACUGGGCUGGAACCACCAGCUAUUCCAGCCAUUGUACGAAACCCUGCUCUUUCACAACUCUCAGCAGUUUUUUUCUAGACCAGGAGAACUACCAUUCUAGGCUAUAGAUUCAAGUCCAUGACCUCCCUUGGGAACACUCCCUUGAUUUCUCGGGUUUCUCACCGGUGGGUGACUUUGGACCUAGCAGAGCCUGAAGGUCUGUGUGUUGCCAGGAGCCCUGAGGUGAAGAUGAUGAUGGAGCAAUGGGGCAAGUGCUGGACACAGGGCGCUCUGGUUGUUAACCGCUUGCAGCAGAAGUGCCUGCUCCCCUGCAAGUUUAAACAAGAAGAUGAAGGCUGUAGUUGUGUCUCCGCUGUCUGCUAAAGGCAUCCGGCAAUGACUUCUGUCCUGGCCAGAGCGAGCCCUCACGACAGUUUGUUGAUGCCACCCAUUGCACCUGCCAAGCACUGGAGGAGGGUGCUGUGCCACUGGCUGCUCUGCUUCCUGCGUCUCAGGGUGGUACGGACACUGUGUGUAAACCCUGCUGUGGAGCAGUUGGGGUUUAUCACGUUAAGGCCUGCUUAGAGGUUAUUGACGCUAAAGUCACACCGUGAUCUGCCUAAGGACCCUGUAAUUCAUGAACUACCAGAGAGCAGAGCAGGACAAUUCCUGGUGAGGCAACUGUGGUAAAUUAUAAAUAGAAAGAUGUAAACUUGAUAAUGCAAAUGAGUUUAUUUUCCUUUUUAUGCAACAGAUGUUUGACCUAGGAGAAAGAAUAAUAUUAUAGAGAUUGAGAUCAGUCUGAGGGAAAAAAUAAAGACGUCUAAAAAUAAAACA